rnacentral:rRNA from 1 species
UACGGGGGGAGCAAGCGUUGUUCGGAUUUACUGGGCGUAAAGGGCGCGUAGGCGGCCACCGCAAGUCGGUUGUGAAAUCUCCGGGCUUAACCUGGAAAGGUCAACCGAUACUGCGGGGCUAGAGUGCAGAAGGGGCAACUGGAAUUCUCGGUGUAGCGGUGAAAUGCGUAGAUAUGACAUAGAACACCAAUUGCGAAGGCAGCUGGCUACACAAAUAUUGACACUCAGGCACGAAAGCGUGGGGAUCAAACAGG